UGGAGAGUUUGAUCCUGGCUCAGAUUGAACGCUGGCGGCAGGCCUAACACAUGCAAGUCGAGCGGAGGAAGGGAGCUUGCUCCUGGAAUCAGCGGCGGACGGGUGAGUAAUGCCUGGGAAUCUGCCUGGUAGUGGGGGAUAACGUCUCGAAAGGGACGCUAAUACCGCGUACGUCCUACGGGAGAAAGCAGGGGAUCUUCGGACCUUGCGCUAUCAGAUGAGCCCAGGCCGGAUUAGCUUGUUGGUGAGGUAAUGGCUCACCAAGGCGACGAUCCGUAGCUGGUCUGAGAGGAUGAUCAGCCACACUGGGACUGAGACACGGCCCAGACUCCUACGGGAGGCAGCAGUGGGGAAUAUUGGACAAUGGGCGAAAGCCUGAUCCAGCCAUGCCGCGUGUGUGAAGAAGGUCUUCGGAUUGUAAAGCACUUUAAGUUGGGAGGAAGGGGUUGAAGCUAAUACCUUCAAUCUUUGACGUUACCAACAGAAUAAGCACCGGCUAACUCUGUGCCAGCAGCCGCGGUA
rnacentral:rRNA from 2 species